GCGGCAGUAGCUCAGUGGUAGAGCCCUCCCUCUGCAUGCAGGGAGACCUGGGUCCGAUUCCCGGCUGCUUCC
rnacentral:tRNA from 1 species